UACGUAGGGGGCGAGCGUUGUCCGAAGUUACUGGGCGUAAAGAGCGCGUAGGCGGGUCUUUAAGUGAGUGGUGAAAGGUUCGGGCUCAACCCGGACACUGCCUUUCAUACUGGGGACCUUGAGUGCGGGAGGGGCGAGUGGAAUGGUCGGUGUAGCGGUGAAAUGCGUAGAUAUCGGGAGGAACACCUGUGGCGAAAGCGGCUCACUGGACCGCAACUGACGCUGAGGCGCGAAAGCUAGGGGAGCAAACAGG
rnacentral:rRNA from 1 species